rnacentral:rRNA from 1 species
AACACAUGCAAGUCGAGCGCGAAAACACUUCGGUGUGAGUAGAGCGGCGGACGGGUGAGUAAUGCUUGGGAAUCUGCCCAGUAGUGGGGGAUAACGUGUGGAAACGCACGCUAAUACCGCAUACGUCCUACGGGAGAAAGCAGGGGAUCUUCGGACCUUGCGCUAUUGGAUGAGCCCAAGUCGGAUUAGCUAGUUGGUGGGGUAAUGGCCUACCAAGGCGACGAUCCGUAGCUGGUCUGAGAGGAUGAUCAGCCACACUGGGACUGAGACACGGCCCAGACUCCUACGGGAGGCAGCAGUGGGGAAUAUUGCACAAUGGGCGAAAGCCUGAUGCAGCCAUGCCGCGUGUGUGAAGAAGGCUCUAGGGUUGUAAAGCACUUUCAGUAGGGAGGAAAAGCUUAAGGUUAAUAACCUUGAGCCCUGACGUUACCUACAGAAGAAGCACCGGCAAACUCCGUGCCAGCAGCCGCGGUAAUACGGAGGGUGCGAGCGUUAAUCGGAAUUACUGGGCGUAAAGCGCGCGUAGGUGGUUUGAUAAGCUAGCUGUGAAAGCCCCGGGCUCAACCUGGGAACUGCAGUUAGAACUGUCUGACUAGAGUACAGUAGAGGGUGGCGGAAUUUCCUGUGUAGCGGUGAAAUGCGUAGAUAUAGGAAGGAACAUCAGUGGCGAAGGCGGCCACCUGGACUGA